GGCCUAACACAUGCAAGUCGAGCGGUAACACAAGGGAGCUUGCUUCUGAGGUGACGAGCGGCGGACGGGUGAGUAAUGCCUAGGGAUCUGCCCAGUCGAGGGGGAUAACAGUUGGAAACGACUGCUAAUACCGCAUACGCCCUACGGGGGAAAGGAGGGGACCUUCGGGCCUUCCGCGAUUGGAUGAACCUAGGUGGGAUUAGCUAGUUGGUGAGGUAAUGGCUCACCAAGGCGACGAUCCCUAGCUGUUCUGAGAGGAUGAUCAGCCACACUGGGACUGAGACACGGCCCAGACUCCUACGGGAGGCAGCAGUGGGGAAUAUUGCACAAUGGGGGAAACCCUGAUGCAGCCAUGCCGCGUGUGUGAAGAAGGCCUUCGGGUUGUAAAGCACUUUCAGUAGGGAGGAAAGGUGAUGUGUUAAUAGCACAUUGCUGUGACGUUACCUACAGAAGAAGGACCGGCUAACUCCGUGCCAGCAGCCGCGGUAAUACGGAGGGUCCGAGCGUUAAUCGGAAUUACUGGGCGUAAAGCGUGCGCAGGCGGUUUGUUAAGCCAGAUGUGAAAUCCCCGGGGCUCAACCUGGGAAUUGCAUUUGGAACUGGCGAACUAGAGUCUUGUAGAGGGGGGUAGAAUUCCAGGUGUAGCGGUGAAAUGCGUAGAUAUCUGGAGGAAUACCGGUGGCGAAGGCGGCCCCCUGGACAAAGACUGACGCU
rnacentral:rRNA from 1 species